GCGGCGUGCCUAAUACAUGCAAGUCGAGCGAAUCGAUGGGAGCUUGCUCCCUGAGAUUAGCGGCGGACGGGUGAGUAACACGUGGGCAACCUGCCUAUAAGACUGGGAUAACUUCGGGAAACCGGAGCUAAUACCGGAUACGUUCUUUUCUCGCAUGAGAGAAGAUGGAAAGACGGUUUACGCUGUCACUUAUAGAUGGGCCCGCGGCGCAUUAGCUAGUUGGUGAGGUAAUGGCUCACCAAGGCGACGAUGCGUAGCCGACCUGAGAGGGUGAUCGGCCACACUGGGACUGAGACACGGCCCAGACUCCUACGGGAGGCAGCAGUAGGGAAUCUUCCGCAAUGGACGAAAGUCUGACGGAGCAACGCCGCGUGAACGAAGAAGGCCUUCGGGUCGUAAAGUUCUGUUGUUAGGGAAGAACAAGUACCAGAGUAACUGCUGGUACCUUGACGGUACCUAACCAGAAAGCCACGG
rnacentral:rRNA from 1 species